CGGGCACCCCCGAGGCCACCGCACCCGCUCCCGGGGAGAACAUCGCCCGCCUCCCCCUUCGCCGCGGCCCCGGGAGGUUCCCGCCCGCAGGGCCCCCCGGGAACGAGGGCUCUGGGGCCCGCCGGGGCUCCGGCCACGGGCCCGCUCCGGCCGCGGGGAGCCGGGGCCCUGCCGGGGCAGGGAAGAACGGGGGCAGCCGUUCCCUCGUUCCUCCCACGCUCCGGGCCCCCGAGCAGAGCUGCCCGUCUGUCCCCGUGUCCCUUUGUCUGUCCUCAGGCGGCCCCAGGAGCUGGCACUGACCGUGCCGCGGCUCGGGCACAGGCUGCUCCCAGCUCUGCCUGCGGAACUUCGGCAAUUACCCACAGCAGUUCUUUGCCCCGCCAUCCAUAAGGUGCAGCUCAGCUGACACCUGCCAGACGGGGAAGGCCCUGCCUGGGAGGGAAACGGCUACAGGGGAGGAAACCAAGAAAUGCUCCAACCGGACGGUGCUGCGCGAGUCAAAAGAGGGGCAAGACCGCAGAGAAAUACAGUCAGGAAAUGCGCUUUUA